GGGUUAGUAGGGUGGUCAUGCCACUGGUAUGUACUGGUCUCACUGAUUCCUCCUACCUGAUGAAUCGUAAUGCCAUCUAUUUGGUGUUUUGGGGAAUUUGGACUGUUACUUUGAAAAAAUUAGAGUGUUUAAAGCAAGCUAACGCUUGAAUACAUUAGCAUGGAAUAAUGAAAUAGGACGUUCGAUCCUAUUUUGUUGGUUUCUAGGAUUGACGUA
rnacentral:rRNA from 1 species